rnacentral:rRNA from 1 species
AACGAACGCUGGCGGCAGGCUUAACACAUGCAAGUCGAACGCCCCGCAAGGGGAGUGGCAGACGGGUGAGUAACGCGUGGGAAUCUACCCAGUUCUACGGAACAACUGAGGGAAACUUCAGCUAAUACCGUAUACGCCUACGGGGAAAGAUUAUCGGAAUUGGAUGAGCCCGCGUUGGAUUAGCUAGUUGGUGAGGUAACGGCUCACCAAGGCGACGAUCCAUAGCUGGUCUGAGAGGAUGAUCAGCCACACUGGGACUGAGACACGGCCCAGACUCCUACGGGAGGCAGCAGUGGGGAAUAUUGGACAAUGGGCGCAAGCCUGAUCCAGCAAUGCCGCGUGUGUGAAGAAGGCCUGCGGGUUGUAAAGCACUUUUGUUCGGGAAGAAAUCAUGUCGGUUAAUACCCGAUGUGGAUGACGGUACCGAAAGAAUAAGCACCGGCUAACUUCGUGCCAG